UACGUAGGGUGCGAGCGUUAAUCGGAAUUACUGGGCGUAAAGCGCGUGUAGGCGGCCCUGCAAGUCGGGUGUGAAAUCCCACGGCUCAACCGUGGAAGUGCAUUCGAAACUGCAGGGCUAGAGUCCUGGAGAGGAAGGUGGAAUGCUUGGUGUAGAGGUGAAAUUCGUAGAUAUCAAGCGGAACACCGGUGGCGAAGGCGGCCUUCUGGACAGUGACUGACGCUGAGACGCGAAAGCGUGGGGAGCAAACAGG
rnacentral:rRNA from 1 species